rnacentral:misc_RNA from 1 species
CGGGGUGACUACUUCACUGUAAAUAUUCCACAACACUUAAUAAAACGGAGCUUGAAUCCACGCGCUUAGAGCUUCAGCGAUAAGAACUUUGGCAAAUGCUUCAGGAAAUGCCACCUCCUUCGUCAACUGGUGUCGCUAAGUUCUCUCUAUUCCGUUUUCCCCCUCGAAUCUUGGUGGUAAACGCAUUCCUACAUGUUUGAAUAUAAAAACACCGACAUUUUUUCAAACUUGAGAAUUUAUUGUUUACAGACGCUCCAGAGCGGGUGCUUGCGUCAAAUUCUCUCUGUGUGUUACCUAAUUAAUAUUCAAACAAUAUGCGCUCAAGCGGGAAAUAGCUUGCAGACGAUUUAUGCUAAUUAGCCACGCUGAUCGAAUUCCAUCCGACUAUCGGUCGAACCUAGUAAACGCAUGAUGUAAUAAUGACAAACGUAAAUAAAGAUUGGCCUGGCCUAUUUAACCACCGGCUUCAUCGUGCAUAUCUCUUAACACAUAUAUUCAUAAGACUUUAAUUGCCAAGAUAUAUCCUUAAGUUAUCGUGUUAUGUAUUUAUCAAAUUAAAUGCUAUCCAGAGAGUUCCCAAAAUUUGAAGAGAAAAAAAAAUUAAAAACACUUUAUCAAUAUUCUGUAGAUUUGCUCAGCGUUAAAUUGAAAGUAGGGGGAAUCUGUUGAUGAUCAUUGCCAUUAUUUCCCAUUGAGCCACGUGUGCCCAAUUAGCAGGAAUUAGUACCGAGAUCAGUACUUGGUGGGUCAUAUUGCACCGUUUUGUUUCUGUAGGUGAAUUCAUGCGAUAUAUUUCAUCGAAACACCCAGUAACUGGAAUAUUCGGGACAAUCAGCCAUUUGAUCGACAUCGGGCAGACGACAAAAGCCGGUGUUGUGUAGAGUACCGAAGAAUUCCCGAUCGGAUCAACAUUUUUACCUGUUGGCGCACACAUGCAGUAUUAAUCGGCCACAGCGUGGGGAAAGUAUAUACUGCACAGACUGCAGAUGAGUGCAACAACGUAGUCAAAAUGGUUACCAUUUCCCCGGUGUAAGACAACAGAGGAUUGCGAGUCAUUCAAGAAAGGUGCACGUACGAGGAGAGAGAGAGCCAUGUCGGCCUCUUAUUUAUGCACACUGUGUGUGUUGUGUUUUGUGUUGACUUUAGCGAGAGGGGUGUAUAUCCGUGCCCCCUCGGGAAAGGAAUCUUAUGCCCAGUAUCCGAAAUGGAACGCCUGUAUUAACGCUUCUUUGAGUUUUGAGUUCAAAACAAGUCAGGGUACGGGAAUUUUAAUGUACACGGACGAUGGGGGCUCCUAUGAUUUCUUUGAGCUGUCGCUCGAGGGUGGGGCCGCCCGACUCAGGAUAAACAUAGUGGACGGUCACGAUGGAAGUGUGGAAUUCCAGGUCGGACAGAACCUGAAUGAUAACAAAUGGCAUCGUGUGACGCUUCAAAGAAACAGGAUGGAGACCACUUUUUCAGUGGACCAGGAAUCGUCGAAGAAUGUGUCAUAUGGUUCCGACUUUUACUUCGGAAAAUUGGAGAAUAAUAGCGAUGUGUUCUUCGGAGGUUUGCCCGAGUCCUAUAUGAAGAAUUUGGAAAACCUUGCCCUGCCUUCGGUGAUGUUCUCAAAGCAUUUAGCUGUGGAAAUACGUAAUGUCAUAUACGGAAAUUGUUCGUGUGAGCCCGUCCGUGGGAGCUUAGUCAACGGAGUCUCCCUGGAUGGGAGGUUUACCGAGGCCUGUGAACAGAGGAACCCCUGUGGGGACUGCCUCUGUAUCAGUGCUGAUGCGGGACCCCAGUGUCAGUGCGAUGAGACCGACAGAUGUGGAAAAGAAAUCUCUAGCGUGUUUUACCAUCUUCCUAUGAACAUGCUGAUUGGACGAACUUCUGUCAAUCCUUCCGGACUCGAUGCCAAUAUCGAUGGAUCCAAUGGACUUCCGAAGAGUGUCAGAGGCCCUGAGGGUAAUGCCAUCCGUAUCCGGGGUAGGAGGGAGUGGCUACAGGUUUCCGGGCCGGGCCACAGAUACGAAUGUUUCGGGGAUCUGGAAAAAUGUUAUAACGGGUACACUCUUGGCCUGUGGGUUAAAUUCAACGACGUGGGGGACACAGAAGGGGUGUACAUGUCCAACGGGGGACACAGCUCCAGCUCCCACGGGAUCGCCAUGACCUACAAACUCGGGGAACUGGAAUUCGUGUUCCGGACCAAGUCCGGACUCUACUGGAACGUCAAAUACGACAACGCACUGGAGGACAAGUGGUACCACGUGAUGGUGUCCUGGACCAAUGAAAAGGGACUCAAGUUAUACAUCAACGGGGAUCUGGUCAGCGAGUCUACUACACCGGAACAGAGGAUGGCAAUAACUAGAAAACCUCGUUUCAACGAGUUCCUGAUUGGCCGCAGUAACGAUAGAACGGGCAUGGACUCUCUAGGAAUCAUUACUGUAGAUGACCUGAAGUUCUGGUCCGAGUACAAGGACGAGUAUCAAAUCCGGGAGAUCGGACCCAUGUACAGAUACUACCUGGACAUGGAUAGCAUCGUUGGAAGAGAACUAGUGGUGGACAACAUGGCGUCCGAGGUUUUGGGCAACGUCCAAAGCGUGAGCGGCAAGAUCGGAAACGCCCUGAAAUUCAACAAGGACGGGGGAAAUGUGGAUCUGGCGGAUUUCAGCACCUCCUGCCUCGGAAAUCCAGACCUCUGCCUCCACGGAUUUCUGAUUUCCUUCUGGAUCAAACUGGACGAGCUUCGUAGAUACUCGUACUACUUCUCUAGUCCGGGUAUUGACGUCUACUCGGUGGGCAAAAACCUGUACGCUGUCGUCCACGCUGGGAACAGGAAGUGGGAAGCCCGGACGUAUGGUUUGGAAAGUGGUAUCUGGCAGUUCGUGGAAGUAAGCUGGAGCGAGAGUAAGGGGUUGUCUAUUUACAUUGACCUUCGCCUGGCUGUGAAGCAGGCGGGGCAUUCUAUAGAGUCACCGAAGAAAAGCACCGAUCCCACGUUCUACAUUGGUCGCGCUAACUAUGCUAAUCAGCAAGAAUAUCCCUACGGUCUUAUUGAUGAUGUGGAAAUGAUGUAUGGGGAGAGAGACACAUUGCUGUUUUUGGAUCUGAUACAGAGAGGCAAACCGACGAAAAACUACGUUAGCUUCGACAGCAUGGUUGGAGACCGGGUAUACCACCCCAAUAUGCUGAUUGAAACGUACGGCGGGCCGAAACUCGUGUCCGGAAAAAUAGGCCAGGGCAUUAAACUGAACGGCAACAGACAGGUAGUGGACUUCGGCGAGCACCAGGCCAGGUGUCUUGGUAACCUAGACAACUGUAACCAUGGCGUCCUCCUUGGAUUGUGGUUCAAUCCAACAACCUUCAGGGACAACAUGUAUUUUGCGUCCACCGGAAAGAACGGCAUCACCAUCAGAAACACCGGAAGUCGCGUCACGGUAACAGCCGCCACGUCCACCCGCGAGUGGUCGGUUAACACGGAACUUUUGUCCUACGGGAACUGGUAUUUCCUGGAGGUAUCUUGGGAUCCGGAAAAAGGCCUGGAGCUGUACAUCAAUGACAAUUUGGUGGAUAGCAGUGACAGUCCGAGAAAGCGCGCGGUAUCUGUGGAUACGGGCAUUUACGCCAGCUCUCAGGAAAAUAAGUUCUAUCUGGGCCGAGGAAACGCCAGGAUGACGUCAAAUAGUUACGGCAACGCCAUGUAUGACGAGCUGGAGUAUUGGUACGGUCCAAGGGACUAUCUGAUCGCCUUCGAUUACAUCCAGAGAGGUAAACCAAGGGGUUAUAUAAUUGAUAUGGAAGCCAAGAGGGGAGAUGAUCUAGUCCACCAGGACCUGCCUCUGCGGCUGUACGGAGACCCCCAGCUUGUACAGGGCGUAAUAGGCUACGCCUUACACCUGGACGGCAACAACCAAUACCUAGACGUGGGCAGACACGCGGACGAGUGCCUGGGAAACUUACAGAAGUGUACCAACGGACUGACAGUAUCGGCCUGGCUCAACUUCAAAGACUACUCCGAAAACAUGUACAUACUCUCAACCGGAAACGACGGGAUCCGGAUGUACCAGAAGGGAGGGGAGACCGUCGCGGUGGUCCAUCAGAACGGCAAGGAGUGGGAGGUGUCUGUGCCCAAUCUGGAAGCGACAGGCGUGGCACUACGUGGAGCUGUCCUGGCACCCCGACUUCGGACUCAACAUGUAUGUCAACAACACCCUGGUUGCCCACUCCUCUUUCACCAACGUCGUGCCCAACGUCAGGAAGCCCGGGGCACGCGUGCUGGUGGGUCGGGCUAAUGAUGGGGAUACGGGGGAGACUACCCGUACAGCUAUGAUGAUCGUGGACGAGAUGGAGGUGUGGUACGGACGGAGGGAGGGGCUGGUCGCCUUCGAUUAUAUCCUUAGAGCCAAUGGUGCAAGUCUAACCAAUGGAAGAAUAGGACAGGGGGUUUCUCUGGAGGGAUACGGCCAAUACUUGGACCUCGGAAACAAUGGCGACAAAUGUAUGGGAAAUCUGGACAAAUGCAGAAACGGACUAACCAUUUCCCUUUGGAUAAAGGCGCGAAAAUUAGAAGAUGGUACUUAUUUCCUAUCGAGUCCUUCCAACACGCUUUCCUAUGAGUAUGGACAACUGGUUUCCCGGUUCUUUAUGAACGGAAAGAUGUGGGAAGUAUCAAGCCCGAACGUUCAAGCCGAUCAGUGGCAUCAGGUGGUGAUGUCGUGGUCCCCCAAUGGUGGUGCCGAGCUCUAUCUGGACGGCAAGAAACAGGGAGCCACCACCACGUGGAGCUCCUUCCAAGGAGACGAUCCCACCGUCGGCAAGACGUUUGUGGGUCGGUCGAAGGACAAUAGCCGAAAAACCGUCAAUGCCUUGGUGGAUGAAAUUCAGUACAUCUAUGCUCAGAGGGACCAAGCCAUAGCUUCUGGACAACUGCAAGGAUACGUGAAUCACCAAGCCUUGCCUCUAGAUCGGGUACCCCGCAUUGAGAAUGGCAAGUUCUUCAUCAAGCUUCCCAUAAGAACCAUCCUCCUUCACGGAAAUCCGGCACAGGUCCAGGGCCAACACGGGCGAGCUAUUAGAAUUAACGGAAAGAGCCAGUACCUGGACUUCGGAGAAGACUUGAUUUGUAAAGGCAACCUUGCUAACUGCGAGUCCCGUGGUUUCACGGUACAGUUCGCUGUCAGGCCGGAGCGGCUGAUAGAGAACAUGUACCUGAUGGACAGCUUCCCUCUGUCUGUGUACUACAGGGACGGGAAGCUGUGGGCCACCGCUAGGACCCCGACAAUGUCCUGGACCACCUCUACCCCUGACUUUAUUGCGGGAGAAUGGCAGCUCGUAGAAAUCACAUGGCAACCACAAAGAGGCUUGUCAUUGCUAAUCGACGGGACGGAAGAAUCCCAUCAAACCUUCGGAACCCCUCAGCAGGAGAUCAGAGAGUGGGACCGCAAGACCUACUUCGGUCGUUCCCUGUCCGACAUGGUCCGGGAGAGAUACGCUGAUGCCACCUUGGAAAGGCUUGAUGUCUGGAACGUCCAAAAGGACUACCUACAGGUCCACGGCUUGAUCGGAUCCAACACCACCGGAUCUACUGGGUACAUAGUAACAGGCGAACACAACACGACGUCUGGCGGUUCCGGACAGAGUCUCCACGUCGAUAGGAUCAACGUCACCCACAAUGUGGUGACCAUCCGACCGGGCGUGGAGGUGGUGCCCGAUGACUUCAUCACGAGUGUGAUUAAUGACGACCGUCGCAUCAUUCGGGAUGGGGUCCAGACGACCUUCAUCGAGCCUGGCGGUGAUACCCACAUCAUCCCACCCCCUGGGGACAACAGCGGGGUGGAUAUCAUCGUCCUGAACGGAACCAUACGACGGGAGCAGAGAAGGAGGACAACUCUGCCACCACCCAUACCCACCACCCAGGCCCAGAUCAACACAAACCUGUACGAGGAUGUGGAGAGACAGGUGUUCCGCCAAACCCGGCGCUACUCCACACACACUAUCCGCUUCCUGGGCAGCGCCUACAUCCACUACGACUUCGGCGCCUUCGGUGUCAACGCCCCCAAGAUGAUGGAGGUGGUGUCCAACGAGACCUUUCAUUUCCAGUUCAUCACGAAGAAAGCCAAUGGCCUCCUGUGGCUGGACAACAGACAGAAUCAGCUCAUGUAUAUAGCCAUCAAGGACGGUUACCUGACUUUUUACCUGGACGAUGGGACGAACAGUCCCCAGCAGGUGCAGCUCCGCCCCGAGAACUUCCGCGACCUGAACGACUGGAGGUGGCACAAGAUCUCAGUGGAGAGGAUGGGCCGCCAUCUGAGAUUCUUUAUCGACGAGAAGUACGCGGGCGAACUCUUCACCAGGAACGAGAUUCAGUUGGUUGCCCCUGGCGACGUGUAUCUGGGAGGGAGCCCGGAUACCAUACAGCUCACCGAUAGAAACAUCCGUGAGGGCUUUGAUGGAGCGCUCACCGAGGUCAUAUACACCAAAUUCGCUAGAAACAAUCACGUGACGAUCAUAAGCCUUCUAGCUCACAUCGAGACGCAUGCGUCAACUCAUGGCCGGGUCAUUAUCUACAAACCUAACGAAUUUGGCACCAGGCCGCCACUUCCGGCCACAACUCUUGCCCCGAGACCAAAAGAAAUCUAUCUCUUCCGGACUCUCUCCAUUCUGCAGUUCAACUUCCACAUCCGGGCCACUGGCUUUAUUGACAUGAGGAAUGGCGGCGAGAUCUCUUUCCGCUUCCGGACUCUCCAGUCACAAGGUCUGAUAUUCGUUGCCGGAACUUCCGGUUCCUUCGUCAGUUGCGAAAUAGUGGACGGAUAUUUGUACAUGGUGUAUGAUUUUGGCGCUGGCGCUAAGCGUGUCCGACUUUCCUCGAGUAUUGUGAACGAUGGUCAACCCCACACUGUCCGGCUUGUAUUCAGCUAUGGCCGCCGACUUACGGCGUAUUACGACAACGUUCCUACAACUGCUAGUCUCUCGGGCUCUGAGACUUCGUUAUACUUCAGCGGAGGAAUAUGGUUCGGCGGUCCGAGGGAGGACGAUCAGUUGUCCUGGUAUCUUAUAUCAAGGAAUGGUUUUGUUGGCUGCUUGUUGGACUUUAUUUUGACAGAUACCAGCACGGAUUUUGGGUCCAUGAUUAUCCAGAAUGUACCGGAACUCUCCCAGUCCUGUGUAGUGGGGGCAAACGAGUGCGCGGUGCCCUCAAUCUGCGGGCGGGGGGAGUGUACAUAUCACGACGCCCUGUCAUACCACUGCUACUGCGCAGGGACAGGGAUGGCCGGCGACAACUGUAAUAUAUGGCCCGUGACUGCCGCAUUUGAGGGGAGGGAAUACGUGAUCUACCACUACAGCAGGUAUCUGGAGACUCACAUGAACGACUUCUCUGUCAGAUUCAGGACAAAGCAGAGUAACGCCAUACUGUUCCAGACCUACUCCACCCAGGGGCACAACGACUUCAUCCGUGCGGAGCUCGAGAACGGGCGAAUCAAGGUCACGGUCAGGGUCAACGGCAGAGACCAGGUGUUCUACACCGGGAACUACCUCAAUGACGAUGCCUGGCACACUUUUAACCUCCGCCGGCGCGCGGACCACUUGGAAUUGUGGGUAGACUCCCAGCGAACACCAAACAGAGAAAAUAUCCGGCCAGGAUUUCUUCAUCCAUUACGACAAGAUUUACUACGGAUCCCUAUAUGAGAUAUACCCUAACCUGCGAAUUCCCGCCUUCCACGGGUACAUGCACAAUGUCUACGUAGACCGAGUGGACAUCUUUGAAAAACUGAAGCAGCACAGCGGCGGCCAUUGGCCCAUUCUGAUCUUCACGCGCGGUGAGUGGGAGAAUCACUAUAGGGGUCACGCUGACCUACAUACUCCCAGACCCACUACCCGGAGACCGGUCACCCCGCGUCCCACCACACCCGCACCCCAGCCAACCAGAGUCAAGCUCAUCAGCACCAUAUCGCUCCUAGUUCACGGCAAGCACUACCACAUUCCCGGCUACGUCGACUUCCGGCAGAGAGGAGGCGAGAUCAGUUUCCGCUUCCGGACUCUGCUUCCUACCGGUCUUCUACUGACCAUACCAAGGACCACCUCUCUGUCUCACUUCAUGAGCUUUGAAGUCUUCGAUGGAAAAUUGUAUUUUGUUUAUGACUUUGGAGCGUUAACGCGACGUAUAGUUGGUGUCUAACGAUUUCGUCAGCACCGGACAGUGGCAGAGCGUUAAGUUAUCAAUGGCCGACAGCUACAUCCUGGUCUACCUGAACAACAAACCCACUCGUAUAGAACUGUCUUCAUUUGAGACCAAUUCUUUGUACUUUGCCGGUGGAAUUUGGAUUGGAGCACUAGCCAGCAGAGAAUCUGUCGUGGUAUACGUUUGCCAGAGACGGGUAUGUGGGUUGUAUAGGAGACCUCACGCUUCACAAACUUGAUUCCAACAUGCGACUCGAAGUCUUUCAUCUCGGGAUCUGAUAUUUCCAACCAGUGCUCAGCGCUCACCCGCCAUUGUGACAAUGCCAACAUCUGCGGUACCGGAACCUGCGCGUACUCCGACCAAUCCAAUUACAUCUGCCACUGUGAGGGGACCGGAUUUGGUGGAGACCGUUGCGACAGAUGGCCGAUAACUAGCAUCUUUGAGGAUGGGCACUAUAUCUUAUAUAAUUACCUACUGCAACAGAAGACCCACAACAACGAUUUCUCCGUCCGCUUCCGGACCGCUCAGGAUAACGCCGUUCUGUUCCAAACUUACUCCACCCGCGGCCUUGACGAGUACAUCCGGGCAGCUUCUGGAAAACGGCCGCGUUAAGGUCACCUUCAGAAUCAACGGAGUUGACCAGGAGUACUACGUGGGAGAGAACUUGAACGACAACCAUUGGCAUACCUUCAACCUCCGACGUCACGGCAACCUGGUCAAGAUGUGGGUUGAUGACCUCGCCGCUAAAGAAGAAACAUUGAAGGGAGAGAACUUUUUCAUCCACUACGACAACGUGUACUACGGUUCCCUGGCCAAUCUGUACCCCAGUCUAAACAUCCCGUCCUUCUCUGGCUCCAUGCACAAUGUGUACAUCGACCAUACCGACAUCUUUGACGAACUGAAGCAGCACUCGGGGGGACACUGGCCGAUAUUCAUUCACACCAAGACCGAGUACGAUAAUUACCACUUCCGGCCCGUGACCUUCGUCACUAGGGACGUGUACGCCGACCUUGCCCCUCUCCACGCCUCCCAGAGGAUGCAUCUGACCUUCAACUUCAAAACUGGUGAGGAAAACGGAAUUCUGCUGUUUACACGCGGAGGUGGAAACCAGUUCAUAGCUGUACAGUUGAUCGGUGGACAGUUAUACGUCAAAUUCCACAACGGUGUACGUCAGAGUUCUCCACAUCUUGUUCCGACCCCGAAACUGAACGACAACCAAUGGCACACCUUUGUUCUGAGGGAGCGCACGCGAGGCGAGCAACGUCAGUUUGAGGUGUCCAUCGACAAGUUGGCGCCCAUUGUCAUCAACCUAGGAACGAACCCCCUGGUGCUGACGGGCAGACUGUACAUCGGCGGCGUAUCCGCCAGUGAGUACCUGGACACGUUUGUCCGGGAGGUCCUGCAGUCCAACGAGGGCUUCAUCGGAUGUAUGUCUUCCGUGGAGCUUAAUGGACACACACCGGAACUGCUGAAGUACGCCAGUAACCUGGACCACAUAAUGACUGGAUGUCGUGCGAUUAGACCAUGCCCCUUGGACGCCUGUUUACACGGGGGUAUAUGUAUUCCCGGAAUCACAGAUUUCACGUGUAACUGUCAGACGACCGCUCACUGGGGACGAAACUGCGGCGAGUAUCCCAAUGGCACCAUUUUUGGAUCCCCUGACAACCAGCAGAGCGGCCUGAUUCUGUACACGUUCGACGAUCUCCAGGUGUCCAGCACGGAUGAAAUCGUGUUUGGGUUCAUGACCUUCUAUGAGGACGGAUUAUUAUACAGAGCAGAGAGCCGGCUGGGAAAUGAAUACAUUGCUAUCAAACUGGAAAAUGGUUUCAUUGUUGCUGAAUAUGACACUGGCAGCGGAAAACAAACUCUGAGAAUAGACUCAAAGACGUACAAUGACGGGAAAUACCAUGUUGUAAAGUUCCUGCGUACCGGCGAGCGCGCGGACCUGAUAGUAGACAGUCUCAGCGCCUUUAACAUGCACCAAUCUACCCAUUCUAAUUUCGACGAAAUGCACAAGGUAUUCAUUGGUGGAUACACAGACUCCGCCCAUUCUACCAUUUUGGAUGGCUUCAAUGGAAUCAUUGGAGGCGCCUACUGGAAUAAGUACCGCUUUAUUGACUUGGCCCACCACGGAGACAGCAGGAUCAACAUUGUCGGAAACUACGCCACUCUGAUCGACAAGCACGGCUACAAUCUACGGCCACCCAUUAUACCCACACGACCCCCGGUCCCUGAUCUUGGCCCCGGACCCCACAUAGUUCCCGAUCACAUCGGAGGUGGUGGGUCCCUCGGACCUGGUGCCUCGGGUAUUGGAGGUUAGUGUCAUCCUAUAGUUAAUGUAGUUAAACAAGUUGUCUUAAUUUCAGCCUAGCUUUAAGGAAGUUUCUGCUUGAUCUACGAUGGUCUAUUCUUAGAAUGAGUAUUAUUUUCCUGAUGAACAUCCUUUGAUUUCACAGGAGGUGUUGAUGUGAUCCACUAUGAAAAGAUCGGUGGAAUUUCGGGUGGCUUUGGAACAAACCCUGGUUUGACUGGUGGACUGAACACGCUGCCACAAACCGCUGGUGGUGGUCCCGCUGUGGUUCCACCCCCAGCAGCUGGUGGUACGCGGGCAGGUGCUGCCAUGGGAACACUUCUCGGUACCAUGGCGUUUUUGGCUAGCUUAAUGUGGGCCUUCUGGAGAAUGAAGCCGGGUAUAGUCACAUUCCCAGGUGGUGGCGGCGGUGGACCCCCACCGGCAACCAUCUCACCCCCAACGGCGACCAACCUACCAGUGUUGAAGGCAAUGGGCGGCGGCGGCGGUGGCGAAGGAGGUGGUGGCGGAUCUGGCGGUGGCACCAAGAUCACAGUGGUCAAUGGUUCUGCAGGAGCCGGUGGCGGCGGCAGUGGUGGUGGUGCUGGCGGAUACUCUUCCUACUACACAUCCUCGACAACAACAGCGGCCGGUGGUGGUGGUGGCGGCGGCGGUGUAGGCGGGGAUGUAUUUGAUUCUGCCACUCUCAGAGCUACGGGUACGUUCUCGAACAAAGGAACCAUUAUUGGUACCCCCAAGGCUACACGAGCGUACUUAGGAUCCGCGUCGUCGGCAGGUUAGCGUUGUUGUUAGCAUGUGUAGCUAGCUCGUAGUGACGAUUAUAGCGUAGUCUGUAGCAUAGGCGGAUCCAGGAACUGGUGUGGAGUGCGUUGCUAUGAUGCUAUAUAAUCACUCGAGCUCUGUGUAUUCAACUUUUACAACGAACGCGACGCGUGUUUUUACAUUUUUACGACAUCCGCCUAUGUCCAGGUAGUAAGUUUAAUCUCCGUUGUGUAAUCCAUAGUACGGCCAUUUUGUCUGAACUUUCAACA